AUGGUCUUUUUUUGUCUCAGGUUUUCAUGCUUUUUAUAUAGAGAACUAAAGCUCAAAUCUUUGGUUUUGGGACUGGUAUAUGAAGUGGACAGCAAGAGGGUUUUUGUUGUUUUAUGCGGGAUUAAGACAAGGCAUUUGGCAGCAGGUUUUGUGGCAUCUUAUGAGCAGUAUGGGGCAACAGCAGGUUCUGUUUUGAAGGGUUUAUAG